rnacentral:tRNA from 1 species
GGGCUGUUAGCUCAGUUGGUUAGAGCGCAUGUUUUACACACAUGAGGUCGCGUGUUCGAGCCACGCACAGCCCA